UACAGGGGGUGCAAACGUUGCUCGGAAUUAUUGGGCGUAAAGCGCGCGUAGGCGGCUACUUAAGUCGGAUGUGAAAGCCCUUGGCUCAACUGAGGAAGUGCACCCGAAACUGAGUGGCUAGAGUACGAAAGAGGGUCGCGGAAUUCCCGGUGUAGAGGUGAAAUUCGUAGAUAUCGGGAGGAACACCGGGUGGCGAAGGCGGUUCUCUGGGCCUGUACUGACGCUGAGGAACGAAAGCGUGGGGAGCGAACAGG
rnacentral:rRNA from 1 species